AGAUACAGAGGGUUUGAGCUGACAAGCGCGAGAGCUGCUGCUACUUCAUCUGAAACAGCAAAUGCAAAAGAAAGGAAGGCUUCGUCAUUAUGGAACGGACAUUCACGCGUAGCCUACUGCCCAAUGUAAAGAAACAAUAGUUGAUCAACAUUUUAAGGCUAAAGGUUUUGAUCUGUCGCAUCAGACUCAUUGCUUUUUUAAUGUGUUUUUUUUAGCCUACUGGUUGUAUGAAUUCGGGAUCUAUCGUCCCAUAACUGUCCCAGAGUCUGUUUGGAAUAGGCUAUUUCUUUCUCGACAAGUUGACCACAAUAGAAUAGGUCCGUUUUUCUCCUAUGGGGAAUAGCAGAAACCCCAAACAGCAUAGGCUAGUGAUUUAUCUAUUCGUUACUCGUCUUGUUGGCUGAGGAAAAGUACACGUGGACGGUUAUUCUGACAUCUUCAAAGUGCACAUCAAAGUGACAAUUAGGGUAAGAAGGAAAACACAUCGUUGCAUCCUGACUUACAUGUUCUGUUAAUAUAAAUGACCAUAAUCUAAAUGUGAUUUCUGUCAUCCUGAGCACCGUGGGUGGACGCCCUAAUCAGGUUACGCACCCAAUGCAUAUUGGUCCGGUAAAUUUCUGAAAUGUCCGGAGGCGCCACAUUUUCCUAACAUAAACCCUGACACACACAUAUUACAUAUAAAUGCACGAUGCCGACAGUAUGAUUGUGUGUGAUUAAUGAGUAGACAGUGUGACGCCAUCAGCCACCUCGGUACCAUGGCGACAGACAACGCAACGGCCGACAGAACUGCCAAAAUCUUGAAAAGGGAUGGGAGAACUGUGGAUGGGGCAUCGUCAUUAAAGCUAAUGAAACAUGGGACCAACACAUGUUCGUUCGGUACAGAAGAAUGGUCCACUAGAGCCGGCACUGAAGUAAUAUCUACCGUGACUCUUUAGAGACAUAGAACACAGCUACAGUAAAAUGACAAUACUGACAAUUGUUAACUUUACAGACAAUUUGAAAAAGUGCUGCAUCAGAAGAGUCUGUGCCGUUUGACAGUCGAAUUCUGCUCUUGUAUAUAAUGUUCUAUUGUUUCCCUGACAACAAUAAACGCUGUUGCUUGAUGUG